UACGAGGGGGGCGAGCGUUGUUCGGAAUUAUUGGGCGUAAAGGGUGCGUAGGCGGUUUGGUAAGUCUGAUGUGAAAUCUCUGGGCUCAACUCAGAGUCUGCAUCGGAAACUGCCGGGCUUGAGUAUGGGAGAGGUGAGUGGAAUUCCUGGUGUAGCGGUGAAAUGCGUAGAUAUCGGGAGGAACACCGGUGGCGAAGGCGGUUCUCUGGGACGGUACUGACGCUGAGACGCGAAAGCGCGGGGAGCAAAAC
rnacentral:rRNA from 1 species